rnacentral:piRNA from 1 species
CAGUUAGUCACAUUGGUAUUUUCCAGG